rnacentral:sRNA from 1 species
AUUUUGCAUUACAUCAGCCAUGAAAUAGCCUUGAUGAUAAAGUUGAAAAAUUGUGCGAGGUAUUUGGAGUGAGUUCCGAAUAGUGAAAAGAUGUAAACAUUUUCCAGUAUAAAUCUCCGUAAGAAAUUUGUUUUCUUCCCUGUGAACUUUUUUGGGUGAAAAAUAAAAAUGUCUUAAUGAAGAUAUCUUGGAUAUUUUCCCUUUCAUCAAUAUUAAGUGUAUUUCUUUCACAGGUAUGCAUUUUUAUUAAUAAUAAUCAAAAAGUGAUGGAAGAAAUAACUUGGGACAGACUUUAUAUAGUUUAUACCACCAGUUAACUAAAGUAUUAUGAUACCAAGCUCUGGAGGAAUGCUUGAUGUUAGAGAACUGAAGGUGAUACUAAAGUACGAUAUACAUGUAGUAUAGUUAGCCCCGUCAUGUUCAGUAGACUUUUUAAAAUAUGAGUUAAUAUCAGAUAAGUGCUGAAUAUGAUUUUCAUGAAUUCUCUGUGCAAUAUAUUAGAAUGCAUAAUUAAUAAUGCAUAUAUAUGUAAUAUAUUAAAUUAGCAAAAACCUAAAUAAUACCCUAUUUGUAAUAGAUAUUAGAACUCGUUUUGGUUGAGGCUGAAGUGGUCAUUUUUGGAAGAAAGCUAUAUUUACUGUGGUUUAAAGCUAAAUUCCCCCUUUAACAAAAAUCACUGUAAUUUCGGGUGGAAUUUUUAACACUAACGUUCACACUAUUUUAUAUUUUUGAUCUAAUGUUACCCCAAAGUGAUUGACCCAAUAUCUGAGAAACGAUCACUUCUAUAUAAUUUGCAUUAAUGUCACAAUAUUGAUACAUAUCUUUAUUUCUAUUUAUUUGUUUUUGUUCUAAGUGGAUCAUCUUUGACUUUAUUUUCUAUAUUUUGUUUUGUUACUCAUUACUUUAUUGUUUACCAUAAUAUUGCUUCUUGAAAUUGUUAGAAUUCUUUGCAAAAUUACAGGUUUAGCUUUUAAUAAAUAUUAAUAUCUUAAAUUAAGUCCUGAAAGAUAUUUAAAUGUAGAGACUGCAUUUAUGAUUCUUUUUUUCUCAAUACUACAACUUAUCAUUAAUUUUAAUAAGUUUUUACUGUAUGAUUGAGGCAAUAAAUCUAUUUUACUUA